UGCUCCAUCCCUCAGAGCAAACGGGAAGAGCAUGAGUUUGUACACCUCUGGGUUCACUCCAUUUGUCUUCACAGUAUCACAAAUCUGCAGAAAAUUAGAAAUAAAUUGAUUUGGGUCUUCGUGGAGAAGACCAUGAUACUGACAGUUUUAUUACACUAGGGUGACCAAUUGUGGCUUCAACUCAAAGUUGUUCACAGUUAUGGGAGGUACCACAAUGCUUUUACCAUAAAGGUCUGCAGUAGGAGCAGAGUAAGAGCCAAUCACUCUUCUUUGUUCUUCAUUCCCAUUCGGAUUUGCCACAUUGGCAUUAACAGCAUUAUUGUGAUCCAUGAUGGAUUCUACAGGCUUGCUAAGUCUUGCUUAUUGUAAACGUCGCCUACAAGUCCUUUUAGGUUCUGGAUCAAAGUCUAACAGAGGUUCCUUGUCUCUAUUCCUUAUAAUCAAAUCACAU